rnacentral:misc_RNA from 1 species
GAUGAAGAACGUAGCGAAAUGCGAUACGUAAUGUGAAUUGCAGAAUUCAGCGAACCAUCGAAUCUUUGAACGCACAUUGCGCCUGCCAGCAUUCUGGCAGGCAUGCCUGUCCGAGCGUCAUUUCCCCCCUCACGCGCCCCGUCUGCGCGCUGGUGUUGGGGCUCCUCCGCCUGGCGGAGGGCCCUGAAAGCGAGUGGCGGGCCUGGCUGGUUGGCUCCGAGCGCAGUACCGAACGCACCGUUCCCCCUCUCGCUCGCGGGCCCCGCCGGCGCCCAGCCGUCAAAACCGCGGCGCGCCCCGCGCGCGCUGCACUUUUACCAAGGUUGACCUCGGAUCAGGUAGGACUACCCGCUGAACUUAAGCAUAUCAAUAAGCGGAGGA